AGUGAACGCUGGCGGUAGGCCUAACACAUGCAAGUCGAACGGCAGCACAGUAAGAGCUUGCUCUUACGGGUGGCGAGUGGCGGACGGGUGAGGAAUACAUCGGAAUCUACUUUUUCGUGGGGGAUAACGUAGGGAAACUUACGCUAAUACCGCAUACGACCUACGGGUGAAAGCAGGGGAUCUUCGGACCUUGCGCGAUUGAAUGAGCCGAUGUCGGAUUAGCUAGUUGGCGGGGUAAAGGCCCACCAAGGCGACGAUCCGUAGCUGGGCUGAGAGGAUGAUCAGCCACACUGGAACUGAGACACGGUCCAGACUCCUACGGGAGGCAGCAGUGGGGAAUAUUGGACAAUGGGCGCAAGCCUGAUCCAGCCAUACCGCGUGGGUGAAGAAGGCCUUCGGGUUGUAAAGCCCUUUUGUUGGGAAAGAAAAGCAGCAGGUUAAUACCCCACUGUUCUGACGGUACCCAAAGAAUAAGCACCGGCUAACUUCGUG
rnacentral:rRNA from 1 species